CCUACGGGUGGCAGCAGUGAGGAAUAUUGGUCAAUGGGCGGGAGCCUGAACCAGCCAAGCCGCGUGAGGGAAGAAGGCGCCAAGCGUCGUAAACUUCUUUUGUCGGGGAACAAAGGGCGCCACGUGUGGCGUUGUGAGUGUACCCGAAGAAAAAGCAUCGGCUAACUCCGUGCCAGCAGCCGCGGUAAUACGGAGGAUCCGAGCGUUAUCCGGAUUUAUUGGGUUUAAAGGGAGCGUAGGGGGAUUGUUAAGUCAGUUGUGAAAGUUUGCGGCUCAACCGUAAAAGUGCAGUUGAAACUGGCAGUCUGGAGUACAGUAGAGGUGGGCGGAAUUCGCGGUGUAGCGGUGAAAUGCUUAGAUAUCACGAAGAACUCCGAUUGCGAAGGCAGCUUACUGGACUGCAACUGACACUGAGGCACGAAAGUGUGGGUAUCGAACAGGAUUAGAUACCCGUGUAGUC
rnacentral:rRNA from 1 species